UGUUAUGUUGAGGGAGCUACGUGCCCUCCUUGUUGUACCACGGCAGCACUCCCAAAUACAGCAGACGUGUGUGAGCAUGUAAACAACAGAAAAAGCAAGCAUUUCCUGAGGUCCAACUGUGAACGAGAGGGAAACAACUUCUGUCAAGUUAUUAAUGUUGAGAAACUCCGGUUGGUUUUUUUUGUGACCAGAUAGAAUCAAAAAUGGCGAGCCCAGACCGUGACCCUGUGGCUGGUUGGAGAAAUGGUGUUGGCCAGACUGUAGCAACUGCCCACAGAGGACAUCUGAUUUAAAGUGAUACCCAUUUUCAUUGGGUUACAGAUAAGACACACACUAAUUAUCCUAACCGGGUAGUAGUGAUAGUAGUGACAUUAGACAUUUGGAACAGAUACAACACAAAACAACUUUGAACUGAACUCUUGAGCUCUUUAAUCAUAAGGAGUCCCUACGGAUUAAAGUUUCAGUAAACCAAAGAACAUUUCAUUGGAGGUUUUCCACCUCCACAACAGACUAUUUCUGUUUAUUUUUUUGUAUUGUGUAUUAUUGUGUAUGAGUUGAGGCAAUAAAUUGUCACUGUUCAACCGUU